ensembl:lncRNA
CCCGCGCAUGCGCAGUGGGAUCCGCGGCGCGCCUGUGAGAUCGGGCGGUUCCGGGAGGAGCGUUGUGGGGCUGAGGCCCUCCCGGAGGUGCCGCUAUGGGGCUGCUGUCCGACCCACAGUGCCGCCGUCUGCUCAGCCGCCUCCUGCAGCGCUUCAAUGUGCCCCUAUGGUGCGUCACGGCCCCAUACGGCCCUAUAUGGCCCCAUAGAGCCCCAUAAGGCCCUGUAUGGCCCCAUAUGGCCUCAUGUGGCCCCAUAGAGCCCCAUACGGCCCCAUAUAGCCUCAUAUGGCCCCAUUUGGCCUUAUAUAGCCCCAUAUAGUCCUAUAUGGCCCCAUAUAGCACCAUACAGUCCCAUACAGUCCCAUAUGGCUCCGUAUGGCCCCAUAUGGCCUCAUAUGGCCCCUUUUGUCCCCAUAUAGUCCUACAUGGCCCCAUAUAGCCCCAUACAGCCUCAUACGGCCCGAUUUAGCCCCAUAUAGUCCUAUAUGGCCGCAUAUAGCCCCAUACAAUCCCAUAUAGCCCCAUAUAGUCCCAUCUGGCCCCAUACGGCCCCAUUUGGCCCCAUAUGGCCUCAUACGGCCCCAUUUGGGCCCAUAUAGUCCUAUAUGGCCGCAUAUAGCCCCAUACAGUCCCAUAUGGCUCCGUAUGGCCCCAUAUGGCCCCAUACAGCCCCAUAUAGCCCCAUACAGUCCCAUGCGGCCUCAUAUGGCCCCAUUUGGCCCCAUAUAGCCCCAUACAGCCCCAUAUGAACCAAUGUAGCCCCAAUAAAGCCCCAUAAGGCCCUAUACGAACCUGUAUAGCCCCAUAUGGCCCCAUAUAGCCCCAUACAGUCCCAUAUGGCUCCGUACAGCCCAAUAUGGCCCCAUAUGGCUCCGUACAGCCCUAUAUGGCCCCAUAGAGCCCCAUACAGCCCUGUAUGGCCCCAUAUGGCCUCAUAUGGCCCUAUUUGUCCCCAUAUGGCCCCAUAUAGCCUCAUAUGGCCCCAUAUGGCCUUAUAUAGCACCAUAUAGUCCUAUAUGGCCCCAUAUAGCACCAUACAGUCCCAUACGGCCCCAUGCGGCCCCAUAUGGCCCCAUACGGCCCCAUAUGGCCCCAUAUAGCCUCAUAUGGCCCCAUUUGGCCCCAUACGAACCCAUAUGGCCCCACAUGGUCCCAUACAGCCCCAUACGACCCCAUUUGGUCUCAUAUGGCCAAUACGGCCCCAUACAGCCCCAUAAGGCCCCAUGCAGUCCCAUACGGCCCCAUAAGGCCCCAUACAAACCCAUACAGCCCCAUAUGGCCCCAUAUAGCCCCAUACGUCCCCAUACAGCCACGUAAGGCCUCAAACGGCUCCAUACAGCCCCAGUUGGCCCUAUAAGGCCCCAUAUAGUCACGUAAGGCCCCAUAGGGUCCCAUAUGGCCCCAUACGGCCCCAUAAAACCUCGUAAGGCCCCAUAUAGCCCCAUAAGACCUCAUAAGACCCCAUAAAGCCCCAUGUAGCCCCAUACAGCCUCAUAUGGCCUCAUAUGGUCUCAUACAGCCCCAUAUGGCCCCAUACGUUCUUAUAUAACCCCAUAUAUCCCUAUAUGUGCUUAUAUGACCCCACAUAUCCCCAUAUGUCCCCAUACAACUCUAUAUGACCCCAUAUGUCCCCAUACGUCCCUAUAUGACCCCAUAUAUCUGCAUACGUCCGUAUAUGGCCCCAUAUGUUCCCAUACGUCCCUGUAUGGCCCUAUAUAUCCCCAUACGUCCCCAUGCGUCCCUAUACGACCCCAUAUAUCCCCAUACGUGCCGAUACAUCCUUAUAUGAUCCCAUAUAUCCCUGUAUGUCCCCAUAUGUUCCUAUAUGACCCCAUAUAUCCCAGUAUGUCCCCAUAUGUCCCUAUAUGACCCCAUACAUCUCCAUAUAUCCCUAUACGUCCCCAUAUGACCCUAUAAACCCCCGUAUGACCCCAUAUGAUCCCAUAUAUCCUCAUACGCCGGUAUGUGGCCCCAUAUAUCCCUGUAUGUCCCCAUAUGUCCCUAUAUGACCCCAUAUAUCCCCAUAUAUCCCUAUACGUCCCCAUAUGACCCUAUAAACCCCCAUAUGACCCCAUAUGAUCCCAUAUAUCCUCAUACGCCGGUAUGUGGCCCCAUAUAUCCCUGUAUGUCCCCAUAUGUCCCUAUAUGACCCCAUAUAUCCCUAUAUGACUUCAUAUAUCCCCAUAUAUCCCUAUAUGUCCCUAUAUGACCCUAUAAACCCCCAUAUGACCCCAUAUGAUCCCAUAUAUCCUCAUAUGCCGGUAUGUGGCCCCAUAUAUCCCUGUAUGUCCCCAUAUGUUCCUAUAUGACCCCAUAUAUCCCAGUAUGUCCCCAUACGUCCCUAUAUGACCCCAUAUAUCCCUAUAUGACCCCAUACAUCCCCAUAUAUCCCUAUACGUCCCCAUAUGACCCUAUAAACCCCCAUAUGACCCCAUAUGAUCCCAUAUAUCCUCAUAGGCCGGUAUGUGACCCCAUAUGUCCCCACAUGACCCCAUACACCCCCAUACGUCCCCACCCCAUAACCCUGCCCCACCCCACAUCACCCCAUAACUGCCCCUAUACCCCACAACCCCACGCUACAUCACCCCAUAAGUGCCCCCAAAAUACCCAUCACCCCAUAACUGACCCUAUAGACCCCCAUACCCCCACCCUCAACCCCCCCCACCCCAUAACUGCCCCUAUAGACCCCCAUCACCCCAUCCCCCCCCACCCCAUAACGGCCCCUAUAGACACUCAUCACCCCAUAACCCCCCAUCCCCCCCCACCCCAUAACUGCCCCUAUAGACCCCCAUCACCCCAUCCCCCCCACCCCAUAACUGCCCCUAUAGACCCCCAUACACCCAUCACCCCAUACCCUCCAUCACCCCAUAACUGCCCCUAUAGACCCCC